ACAGGAGGUGACACGAUGGUUUAAUCAGUCAUGUCAGCUUGUCUGUGGCUGCUCUUCAACUUCCUUAUUCGCCCGUCAGAACAUUUCCUCUUUUGGUGGCUGGUGUUGUUCAUCUUCAGCCUUCUGAAUCGGGUCUUUCUGCUCUUCUGAGCUGAACAAACAUCCCAAACCUGCAGGUUUCUGGGGGAAUGUGAGAGUUGAAGCUGAUAGGACUGCGUUGUGUUGAGUCUUAAAGGCUUGAGAGGAUUUCUGAGCCGCAGAGCAUCAAAACUCUGGUGAAAUGUUAUGAAGGGAAAGGAAGCUUCGGACCGAAAAACUGACAGCCUCUCUGCAGUAGUGUGUGUGUGUGUGUGUGUGUGAGUGAGAGAUGUCGGCUGACAUCAGAACUUCGAGGAGCAUGUCUCUAAUCGGCCGGUCAGAUUCCAUAAAUGUGCCUCCCAUGGCAACCGUUGGGAAGGUGGACAUCUGCCAAGUGAGGAUCAUCAAAGUUUGUUUCCUUAGCAACAGCUCCAACCUGGGUAAGAACUUCAAACUGGUCCGCUGUGAGGACGGCUGGACGAUCAAGAAUGUGAUCAGCACUGUGCUGUCCAGCGGCUGCGUGGGGCCAGGGAUCACACACAGCCUCUGCUACGGCCUCCUCCUCAAACACCUCAAGUCUUCAGAGAUGUACUGGCUGCACCCGGACCUGACUGUGUCCGAACUCACCCAGCGCUACGUGCAGCAGCACCUGGAGGCUGAGUGGAGGUAUGACCUGAGAAUCAGAUACAUCCCAUCUAAUUUUAUGGAGGCGUUCCAAGACGACAGAACCACCAUUCUCUACUUUUACCAACAGAUACGAAGUGAUUAUAUGCAACAAUACGCCUCCAAAGUCAGCGAUGGGAUGGCCUUACAGCUUGGAUGUCUGGAGAUUAGGAGAUUCUACAAAGACAUGAACCCUAAUGGGCUGGAGAAAAAGUCUAACUUUGAACUGCUAGAGAAGGACGUAGGGCUGGACCUGUUCUUCCCCAGAGAGCUCAUCGGCAGCAUGAAGACCAAACGGCUGCGUGGGCUGAUCCAGCAGACCUUUCAGGGCUACUCCACCCUCCAGCAGGACCAGUGCAUGGUCAAGUUCUUCACCACUCUGGCUCAGUGCUACAACUUCACACACGAGAGAUUCGCUUGUCAGCUCAUGCACAGCUGGAAUCUCGCCAUAGACCUGGUCAUCGGAGCUGACGGGAUCAGUCAGCAAACUGAAAACUCAAAGCCCACAUAUCUGGCUAAGUUCUCUCAGGUGUGCAGCAUCGCCUGCUCUGCAGAAAGCGAUGGCCGGGCUGUUCUCACCGUGCACAUCAAGGGGACCAAACAACCUCUCGAGGUCAACACGUCCUCUCUGGCUGUAGCAGAAAGCAUGGCCGACCUGAUCGACGGCUACUGUCGACUGGAAGGCUGCACGGUCAGUUCGCUCAUAACCAGAAACAACAAAGGUCGAGAUGUAAGGCAGAAACUUCCUGACAUACCACAGUGCACCGCCCUCGCUGGUCUUGACAGAGGCUUAGGUUCUGAUAUUUAUGCUGAGAUUCCAGAAAACUCAUCACUUUAUGAUGAUGAACAUGUUAUCGCCAGAGAUGACGUAGUGGUGGGUCGGAUCCUUGGUGAAGGAUUCUUCGGCGAGGUACACGAGGGCGUUUACAAAAGCCCGAGCGGCGAGAGGAUCCAUGUGGCCAUAAAGACGUGUAAAGAGUUUUCAGCCGAGGUGAAGGAGAAGUUCCUGAGUGAAGCCGAUCUGAUGAAGAACCUGGAUCAUCCUCACAUCGUACGUCUCAUCGGAGUCAUCACCGUGGAUCCGGUUUGGAUUGUCAUGGAGCUUUAUAAACUCGGAGAGCUGGGGGACUACCUUGUGGAGCAUCAGUACGUCCUGAAGACGGGAAAAUUAACUCAGUUCUGUCUCCAAAUCUGCAAAGCCCUGGCUUACCUGGAGGGACUCAACAUGGUGCACAGAGAUAUAGCUGUAAGAAACAUUCUGGUGGCUUCUCCUGAAAGCGUGAAGCUCGGUGACUUUGGCCUGUCUCGAUAUGUUGAUGAUCAAGAGUAUUACAAAGCCUCAGUCAGUCGAUUACCGAUCAAAUGGAUGGCACCAGAAUCCAUCAACUUUAGACGCUUCACAACAGCCAGCGACGUCUGGAUGUUUGGUGUGUGUGUUUGGGAGAUCUUCUCGGUGGCCCAGCAGCCAUUCUCCUGGCUGGAGAAUGGACAGGUGAUCAACCAGCUGGAGUCAGGUGUUCGUCUGUACAAACCGCAGAGCUGCCCACCCACCAUCUACUCCCUGCUCACCCGCUGCUGGGCCUACGAACCGCAGGGACGUCCCACCUUCAGGGACCUCGUCUGCUCCUUCAGUGAGAUCCACAGGAUGGAGUUGGAGCGGGAAACCAAUAAACGACAAGAAAGACCCCGCUCCCUUUUCAGCUGCGACCACUUGGAUCCUCCCCCAAAGCCCUCCAGAGGUCCUACCAACACCCUCCUGCACAGACAGAGCUGGGGGACAGAGAAAGUGGAGGACACUUUACUAAGACAAAGAAAGGAGAUGCUGAUGGACAGAAAGUGGCUGGAGCAGGAGGAGGGACAGCUGAACCCUGCUGUGCGGCUGGAUACACCACAGAAGAAGCCUCCGGAGAACAGCCCAGAAAAUGAUCCCCCAGAGAAACCCCCAAUGCCUGCUUUAGUCUCACAGCCUCGACCCACGGCUGAACUGGACCGGUCUGGUGAUGAGGUCUACACCAACGUCAUGGCGAUGGUGAAGCAGGUGGUCCAGCUGAAGAACGAUGUCAGCUCCAUGCCUGCUUCUGAGUAUCCCAGCGCCGUUAAGUCCGUGGGAAUCACACUCCGCAGCCUGAUCCAGAGCGUAGACACGAUCCUGCCCUCUCUGCACAGCUCCGUCACCACCGAGAUCGAAGGCACUAAAAAGCUGCUGAACAACGAUUUAGGGGAGCUGAUCAAUAAGAUGCGACUGGCCCAGCAGAACUCUGUGACCUCGCUGAAGGAGGAAUGUCAGAAGCAGAUGUUGGCAGCUGCACACACACUCGCCCUGGACUCCAAAAGCCUGCUGGAUGCUGUGGAUCAGGCUCGAGUCCGGGCCAACCUGGCCAAACCCAGACCCGCCUCACAAGAGCCCAGAGACUAGAACAGGACGUGUGGAGGAACUUGUCUCAGGUGUAAAAGGAUAACGUCUCGCAUUAUGUGAAAUGUUUUUUUAGUAACAACCAGGAAGUGGUGCACAGAACUGUCCCGUAUAGAGCUGCAGUUCAAGGAGGAUGUCAGAAGCAGAUGUUGGCAGCCGCUCACACAAUCGCCCUGGACGGCAAAACAUGAGCCGCUUUGUUACACAAAACAAAGUAGCAGCAUAAAGCUGAAAUAGCAUAAACUGCUAAUGUCCAGCUUUAUUUUAUCAACAUGAGCAUGAAAUGAAGGGAAGUUUUAGAGUGUUUUUUAAAUAAAGAAAAGCAUGUUUCGAGAACGGUGCCCUGUGGGACGACUGUGUCCUUUCAGGACUACAAACUGAAGAGAGAGCGGGUGUGUCGGGGAUUUCCGCUCUCCUCAUGUCCAGAGGAAUUUCUGCAUGUAACUCCAACCAGACCAGUUCACUCAUCACAGUCAGAUGAUUUUUAACCCAUCAUGUCCUGUAAAACAGUCAAAGUUUAGAGUGAUGAUGAAAAAUGAGUCGUUUGGAAUAAAAACCUGCAGGUUUAUCCUCUCAGGUGCCACGAGAGCCUCUCGCAGAGACAUUUAAAUAGGAAAGAAUCCAAUCAGCUGAUCACACACACACACACACACACACACACACACACUCAGGGUUUAGAAAAAGCAGGUUGCAACGUUUGCCUUGAAGCUGAUUCCAGUCUCUCUGCAGAUGUUUGCAACGUAUUUCAGUCGAAUCCAGGUGUUUGGUUGUGUUACAACAACAGUCAUGGUAACCAGGUGAGCGUUAUCGUGCACAUCCACGUGCACGUACCGAUUAAAUCAGCACAGAGUGGUUGUGGCAGCGUUUGGUCCAGCCAGAGUUGCACGAGAGAUUAGAAGAACAUCCCAUCUAUGUAAUUAUUAUUUUUCGGGAGGGGAGCUUCUGCGUACCUACAGCCCAACGUCUCUACACCCAGUCCAGGCGGAGCUUCCUGUCUGCACAUACGAGCUGUGUUUUCUAGCCGCUCCUCAGAGAUCGGAUCAGCUGCAGCCUCAGACCUCACAACUCACCUGUUGAGAGUCCAGG